GACGAACGCUGGCGGCGUGCUUAACACAUGCAAGUCGAACGGAAAGGCCCUGCUUUUGUGGGGUGCUCGAGUGGCGAACGGGUGAGUAACACGUGAGUAACCUGCCCUUGACUUUGGGAUAACUUCAGGAAACUGGGGCUAAUACCGGAUAGGAGCUCCUGCUGCAUGGUGGGGGUUGGAAAGUCUCGGCGGUUGGGGAUGGACUCGCGGCUUAUCAGCUUGUUGGUGGGGUAGUGGCUUACCAAGGCUUUGACGGGUAGCCGGCCUGAGAGGGUGACCGGCCACAUUGGGACUGAGAUACGGCCCAGACUCCUACGGGAGGCAGCAGUGGGGAAUAUUGCACAAUGGGCGGAAGCCUGAUGCAGCAACGCCGCGUGCGGGAUGACGGCCUUCGGGUUGUAAACCGCUUUCGCCUGUGACGAAGCGUGAGUGACGGUAAUGGGUAAAGAGGCACCGGCUAACUACGUG
rnacentral:rRNA from 1 species